rnacentral:rRNA from 1 species
UACGUAGGGGGCAAGCGUUGUCCGGAAUCAUUGGGCGUAAAGCGCGUGUAGGCGGCCCGGUAAGUCCGCUGUGAAAGUCGGGGGCUCAACCCUCGAAUGCCGGUGGAUACUGUCGGGCUAGAGUGCGGAAGAGGCGAGUGGAGUUCCUGGUGUAGCGGUGAAAUGCGCAGAUAUCAGGAGGAACACCAAUUGCGAAGGCAGCUCGCUGGGACGUAACUGACGCUGAGACGCGAAAGCGUGGGGAGCAAACAGG